rnacentral:rRNA from 1 species
UACCACUUGUUGCCUCGGCGGAUCACCCGCUCCCGGUAAAACGGGACGGCCCGCCAGAGGACCCCUAAACUCUGUUUCUAUAUGUAACUUCUGAGUAAAACCAUAAAUAAAUCAAAACUUUCAACAACGGAUCUCUUGGUUCUGGCAUCGAUGAAGAACGCAGCAAAAUGCGAUAAGUAAUGUGAAUUGCAGAAUUCAGUGAAUCAUCGAAUCUUUGAACGCACAUUGCGCCCGCCAGUAUUCUGGCGGGCAUGCCUGUUCGAGCGUCAUUUCAACCCUCAAGCACAGCUUGGUGUUGGGACUCGCGUUAAUUCGCGUUCCCCAAAUUGAUUGGCGGUCACGUCGAGCUUCCAUAGCGUAGUAGUAAAACCCUCGUUACUGGUAAUCGUCGCGGCCACGCCGUUAAACCCCAACUUCUGAAUGUUGACCUCGGAUCAGGUAGGAAUACCCGCUGAACUUAAGCAU